rfam:Snodgrassella alvi strain wkB12 wkB12_scaf006, whole genome shotgun sequence.
GGGGGCGACCUUGGUUUCGACGGGGGUUGCAAAGCAGAUGCGUGCAUACCGGGGUCUCAGAUUCCCGUAAAACACUGAAUUUAUAUAGUCGCAAACGACGAAUCUUACGCUUUAGCCGCUUAAGGCUAAACGUUGCAACGGUUGGCCAAUGGGCCGUGUGAGGUAACUCACCGCAACGACAUUUACAUUGGCUGGUUCAAUGUCGUGUUGUCUGGCAUUGAACAAGAUCUAUGGCAACUGGUUUACAAACAGCCUGUCUGUCGGCGGUUUGUAAAUAAGAUUCGAAGUUGGCAAGACUAAGUAUGUAGAUCGCUCUGUAGAGGACUUUCGGACGGGGGUUCGAUUCCCCCCGCCUCCACCA